rnacentral:rRNA from 1 species
UACGAAGGGGGGCUAGCGUUGCUCGGAAUCACUGGGCGUAAAGCGCACGUAGGCGGAUUGUUAAGUCAGGGGGUGAAAUCCUGGAGCUCAACUCCAGAACUGCCUUUUGAUACUGGCGAUCGUCGAGUCCGGGAGAGGUGAGUGGUAACUGCGAGUGUAGAGGUGAAAUUCGUAGAUACUUCGCAAGAACACCAGUGGCGAAGGCGGCUCACUGGCCCGGUACUCGACGCGUGAGGUGCGAAAGCGUGGGGAGCCAAACAGG